rnacentral:rRNA from 1 species
GAUGAACGCUGGCGGCGUGCCUAAUACAUGCAAGUCGAGCGAACAGACGAGGAGCUUGCUCCUUUGACGUUAUCGGCGGACGGGUGAGUAACACGUAGGUAACCUACCUAUCAGACUGGGAUAACUUCGGGAAACCGGAUCUAAUACCGGAUAAUAUUUCGAACCGCAUUGUUCGAUAGUUAAAGAUGGCUUUUCUAACACUAAUAGAUGGACCUGCGCCGGAUUAGCUAGUUGGUAAGGUAACGGCUUACCAAGGCAACGAUACGUAGCCGACCUGAGGGGGAGGACGCCCACCUGGGAACUGAGAAACGGUCCCGACUCCUACGGGAGGCAGCAGUCGGGAAUCUUACGCGAUGGGCGAAAGCCUGACAGAGCAAAGCCGCGUGAGUGAUGAAGGACUUCGGAUCGGAGAACGCUGUUAUUAGGGAAGAACAAACGUGUAAGUAACUGUGCACGUCUUGACGGUACCUAAACAGAAAGCCACGGCUAACUACGUG